rnacentral:piRNA from 1 species
UGCCCUAUCCUACUGUGGCUGAGCUGGU